rnacentral:rRNA from 2 species
GGACCCGUCUUGAAACACGGACCAAGGAGACCUGCAUGUGUGCUAGUCAUUGAGACUUUACACGAAACUGAAAGGCGUAACGAAAGUGAAGGCGUGCGCUAGUCGCGCGCUCAGGGAGGAUGGAUAGUCGGUCUAGAUCGAUCUCCCGCACUCCCGAGGCGUCUCGUUUCCAAUCAGUGAAUGCAGGCGCGCUCUGAGCACAUAUGCUGGGACCCGAAAGAUGGUGAACUAUGCA